rnacentral:rRNA from 1 species
CCACUUGUCCAUACCCUGAAGGCAUCCCAUUCUGACUGUUCUGGAAAGUCAAACAGGAUCAGGCCUGGUUACUAUUUGGAUGGGAGACCACCAAGGAAUACCAGGUGCUGUGGGCU